rnacentral:rRNA from 1 species
AUUGAACGCUGGCGGCAUGCUUUACACAUGCAAGUCGAACGGCAGCACAAACUUCGGUUUGGUGGCGAGUGGCGAACGGGUGAGUAAUGCAUCGGAACGUGUCCUGAAGUGGGGGAUAACGCAUCGAAAGAUGCGCUAAUACCGCAUAAUCUCUGAGGAGAAAAGUGGGGGAUCGAAAGACCUCAUGCUUUUGGAGCGGCCGAUGUCUGAUUAGCUAGUUGGUGGGGUAAUGGCCUACCAAGGCGACGAUCAGUAGUUGGUCUGAGAGGAUGGCCAGCCACACUGGGACUGAGACACGGCCCAAACUCCUACGGGAGGCAGCAGUGGGGAAUAUUGGACAAUGGGCGCAAGCCUGAUCCAGCCAUGCCGCGUGAGUGAUGAAGGCCUUAGGGUUGUAAAGCUCGUUUCACCGAUGAAGAUAAUGACGGUAGUCGGAGAAGAAGCCCCGGCUAACUUCGUGCCAGCAGCCGCGG